rnacentral:ncRNA from 1 species
UAUAUAAUUUUAUUUCAGUUAGUUUAUUUAUUAUAAGUUUUUUUUACAUGUAAAUUUUUGUGUAAUUUUUUAUCUUAAUGAUUAUAAAUUAUUAUUUUUUGCAGUACUUAGAUUUAUAAAUCAAAUAAUUUUGGAUUUAGAAAUACUUAAUUAAUAUUGGUUAAAAUUGUGCCAGCAUCCGCGGUUAGACAGUUUAAUAUGAGUAAAUAUUUUCAGAUUUAUAGUUAAUAUAAUUAAUAAAUAUUUUAUAAAAAUUAUAAAAAUAAAGUGAAAUUUUAUUUUAUAUAUUUAUUUAAUUUGAUUUUUUAUGAGGCUAUUAAAUUUUAUUAAUAAACUAGGAUUAGAUACCCUAUUAUUUAAAAUGUAAAAAUUUAGUCUUGAUUAAUAAUAGAUAUAUUCUUUAAAGUUAAUAAAUUUGGCGGUAUUAUAAUCUAAUUAGAGGAACCUGUAUUUUAAUUGAUGAUCCACGAUAAAUUUUACUUAAUUUUGUAUGAUUCAAUUUGUAUACCGCCGUUAUCAGAAUAUUUUAAAAGAAUUAAAAUUUUCAAAAUUUUUUAUAAUAAAAUGAUUUCAGGUCAAGGUGCAGUUUAUAAUUAAGUUAGUAUGGGUUACAAUAAAUUUAUUUAAAUGAAUAUAAUUAUUGAAAAUUAAUUAUUAAAGUGGAUUUAAAAGUAAAUUAAAUUAUUUUAUUUAAUUGACUAUAGUUCUAUAGUAUGUACACAUCGCCCGUCGCUCUCGUUUAUAAAAUGAGAUAAGUCGUAACAAAGUAGAUGUAUUGGAAAAUGUAUCUAGAAUGAA